rnacentral:rRNA from 1 species
GACGAACGCUGGCGGCGUGCUUAACACAUGCAAGUCGAACGAAGUGGCGAACGGGUGAGUAACGCGUAAUCAACCUGCCGUUCAGAGGGGGCCAAAAGUUGGAAACGACUGCUACUACCGCAUACUGAAGGAGGGGAUUGCGUCUGAUUAGCUAGGUGGAGGGGUAACGGCCCACCAAGGCGAAGAUCAGUAGCCGGUCUGAGGGGAUGAACGGCCACAUGUGGACUGGGACACGGCCCAGACUCCGACGGGAGGCAGCAGUUGGGAAUCUUCCGCAAUGGACGAAAGUCUGACGGAGCAACGCCGCGUGAGUGAUGACGGCCUUCGGGUUGUAAAGCUCUGUUAAUCGGGACGCGGUACCGGAAUAGAAAGCCACGGCUAACUACGUGCCAGCAGCCGCGGUAAUUC